UGGGGAAUAUUGGACAAUGGGGGCAACCCUGAUCCAGCCAUGCCGCGUGUGUGAAGAAGGCCUUUUGGUUGUAAAGCACUUUAAGCAGGGAGGAGGAGGCUAAAUGGCUUAAUACCCAUUAGAUUAGACGUUACCUGCAGAAUAAGCACCGGCUAACUCUGUGCCAGCAGCCGCGGUAAUACAGAGGGUGCGAGCGUUAAUCGGAAUUACUGGGCGUAAAGCGAGUGUAGGUGGCUCAUUAAGUCACAUGUGAAAUCCCCGGGCUUAACCUGGGAACUGCAUGUGAUACUGGUGGUGCUAGAAUAUGUGAGAGGGAAGUAGAAUUCCCAGGUGUAGCGGUGAAAUGCGUAGAGAUCUGGAGGAAUACCGAUGGCGAAGGCAGCUUCCUGGCAUAAUAUUGACACUGAGAUUCGAAAGGCGUGGGUAGCAAAACAGGAUUAGAUACCCUGGUAGUCCACGCCGUAAAACGAUGUCUACUAGCCGUUGGGGUCCUUGAGACUUUAGUGGCGCAGUU
rnacentral:rRNA from 1 species